AUUGAACGCUGGCGGCAUGCUUUACACAUGCAAGUCGAGCGGCAGCGCGGGGGCAACCCUGGCGGCGAGCGGCGAACGGGUGAGUAAUAGAUAGGGAACGUGUCCGGGAGUGGGGGAUAACUAGCCGAAAGGUUAGCUAAUACCGCAUAUUCUCUACGGAGGAAAAGCAGGGGAACCGCAAGGUCCUUGCGCUCGCGGAGUGGCCUAUCUCCGAUUAGCUAGUUGGUGAGGAAAGGCUUACCAAGGCGACGAUCGGUAGCUGGUCUGAGAGGAUGAUCAGCCACACUGGGACUGAGACACGGCCCAGA
rnacentral:rRNA from 1 species